rnacentral:rRNA from 1 species
AACGCUAGCUACAGGCUUAACACAUGCAAGUCGAGGGGCAGCGGGGGAGAGCAGCGAUGCAAUCCCGCCGGCGACCGGCGCACGGGUGAGUAACACGUAUGCAACCUGCCCGCAGCAGGGGGAUAAGCCGGAGAAAUCCGGUCUAAUACCGCGUAACACAUUAUGCCGGCAUCGGCAUGAUGUCAAAGAUUUAUCGGCAGCGGAUGGGCAUGCGGCGCAUUAGCUAGUUGGCGGGGUAACGGCCCACCAAGGCGACGAUGCGUAGGGGUUCUGAGAGGAAGGUCCCCCACAUUGGUACUGAGACACGGACCAAACUCCUACGGGAGGCAGCAGUGAGGAAUAUUGGUCAAUGGGCGCGAGCCUGAACCAGCCAAGUAGCGUGCAGGAUGACGGCCCUAUGGGUUGUAAACUGCUUUUAUAAGGGAAUAAAGUUAGUCUCGUGAGACUUUUUGCAUGUACCUUAUGAAUAAGGACCGGCUAAUUCCGUGCCAGCAGCCGCGGUAAUACGGAAGGUCCGGGCGUUAUCCGGAUUUAUUGGGUUUAAAGGGAGCGUAGGCCGGAGAUUAAGCGUGUUGUGAAAUGUAGACGCUCAACGUCUGCACUGCAGCGCGAACUGGUUUCCUUGAGUACGCACAAAGUGGGCGGAAUUCGUGGUGUAGCGGUGAAAUGCUUAGAUAUCACGAAGAACUCCGAUUG